UCAAUGCAAGGUCAUCCGACUGAAAUAUUUAGUGGUACCUCUUAGUGUGAACGCACGGUAUAUUGCUAGUGAUUGAAAUAUAUUUUGCUUUAGAAAAGUGGUUAACAACUUUUUCGUUUAAAUACUGAUAUACUUUUAAAUUAUGUUAUUGGUGAAAAACAAGCAACCAUGUAUCUAAAACAUGAAACGUAAAUAAUCCUAUUAAAAAUUUACAAAUUUGAUGUUAAAUGCUCACGUAAAUAAAUAUUAAAUACCUACAUGAAUAAUACAUAAUUUAUGAUAGACUACAUUAUAUAUAGUGAGGUGUAGUUAUGGGGUCAUUAACUCUUUGAAACCAGAUUUUUCUAAUACAGUCGUGAAUCACU